UGCAUAUCAAAAAAGCGGAGGAAAAGAAACUAACAAGGAUUCCCCUAGUAACGGCGAGCGAAGCGGGAAGAGCUCAAAUUUGAAAUCUGGUGGCCUCAGGUCAUCCGAGUUGUAAUCUAUAGAAGUGUUUUCCGUGCUGGCCCAUGUACAAGUCCCUUGGAACAGGGCGUCAUAGAGGGUGAGAAUCCCGUCCUUGACAUGGACUACCAGUGCUCUGUGAUACACUUUCAACGAGUCGAGUUGUUUGGGAAUGCAGCUCAAAAUGGGUGGUAAAUUCCAUCUAAAGCUAAAUAUUGGCGAGAGACCGAUAGCGAACAAGUACCGUGAGGGAAAGAUGAAAAGCACUUUGGAAAGAGAGUUAAACAGUAUGUGAAAUUGUUGAAAGGGAAACGAUUGAAGUCAGUCGUGCUCAAUGGACUCAGCCGUUCUGCGGUGUAUUUCCAUUGGGUGGGGUCAACAUCAGUUUUGAUCGCUGGAUAAAGGCAGGAGGAAUGUAGCACCCCCGGGUGAACUUAUAGCCUCUUGUCACAUACAGUGGUUGGGACUGAGGAACGCAGCAUGCCUUUAUGGCCGGGAUUCGUCCACGUACAUGCUUAGGAUGUUGACAUAAUGGCUUUAAACGACCCGUCUUGAACCACGG
rnacentral:rRNA from 1 species